rnacentral:snRNA from 1 species
AGCUUUGCGCAGUGGCAGUAUCGUAGCCAAUGAGGUUUAUCCGAGGCGCGAUUAUUGCUAAUUGUAAGCUCUUUAAAUUUUAAAGAUCUUCUAUAUCUAAACAAACUGAAGGUCCUAUAAUUUUCAACAAUGAAAUUGUAUG